CCACGGCCGCGGGUCCGGCAGCRGCACUGGAGGCGCUCCCCCCUCCCCGGCACGCCGUUACCCUCUGAGCUGGCUGUGAAAAGGGGACCUGACCCAGGGGCAGCUCCAGCUGGAGGCUAUGAGAACUCGCAACAAGUAGAAGCUGAGAUCCUACAGCCACAAGCCUCUGGAAGCUGGGUCUCUGAGAAACCGUUGCUUAAAUGUGGCAGAGGACAAAAAUCACCAAAGGUGGUCUCCUUCUCCCUCUCACCUUCUUUCCCACUGCAUCCAGCCCUCUGUCACCCAGCCAGGAUCAUAACUGAACUAUGUAAUUGAGUGUAUAGUAUUCCACAAGUCCUCCAGCCCCAUCUUGUUCAGAUUUUCUGCUCCAUCAGCAGCACAAAGAGCAGCUGACAUUUAACAAGCUCCGAGCACACAAGGCUCAGGUAGGUCUGAAGGAUUUUCUUGACUUCUUUGCUGGUGGCUAAUGCACAAAUGCAAGGUGAGGAGAGCAUCCCCAGCUAUUCACUGGGGAGGGAUCAUUACAGUGAGGAUCUUCUCUUCUACAGUUACCAAAA
rnacentral:lncRNA from 1 species